GGAUGUGAGGGUGAUCUGUCUGUGACAUCUGUCACCGCAUUGAUCACCAGGGUUGAUUCAGCUGAUCUGGCUGGCUAGGUGGGUGUCCCCUUCCUCCCUCAAUGCUCCAUGUGCGUCCCUCCCAAAGCUGCGUGCUCGGUUGAAGAGGACGACCACCUCCGACAGAGGAGGAUUGUUCCUUGGUCAAGGGUAUACGAGUAGCUACACUCCCCUCCUAGAACCUCCAAACAAACUCUCAAGACCCAACCAAAAAAGAGAACUACAGGCCAAUCUCCCUAAUGAAUAUAGAUGCAAAAAUUCU
rnacentral:snRNA from 1 species